UUCAGCACCUUCAGGAUUUCUGCCGUCUGUGACGUGGCUGCACUGUUGUUAUCUGAUGUGUGCUCAGACUUGUGCUUACCAGUGGCGUGUUGAGAGGGUACCGCUCUGGGCUGGUUGGGCUUGAGUCUCUUGGUGCUGGGCGGUCCAUUCUGGGUCGCCGGCUGGCUUCCAGAAAUGUUUCAGAGCUCUUGCUCUGGGGCGUUAGAUGAGCACCAUGACUGUUGUGUUGCCCUCUGCUGGCCUGGAACGGUUUAACUCUCAGUGAAGGUGUUUGUGAUGUAUGGGGUGCCUUCUAGGGGCAGCUCUGAGUCGUGCUCAGAGACAGGUUAGUCUGAGGGUUUUUACACAGUCUUUUCGGACAAAGCCUUUGCUUAAUGUGAGCUUUGCGGGCCCAGUCUCGUAGCUGAGGUAGACAGGCUACAAGCACAGGCCAGGGUGCUUAUCGACUAACUCACUGUGGGAUGCAGGUUUUAAGGGAACAAAGUUCUGAAACUGGUAUCCUUUUCAUACCUGAUGGUUUGCUUCUCGAAGUAGGCUUGCCGAAGUCGGUGGAGUUUCAAGUCGGUCUUACUUGAUGUCCACGGUGGUGAUAACCCUUGGUCUGAUUCUGGAUCAGGGAGUUAAGCGAUCAAAGCUUAUUGCAACAGCUGGUAGUCCAUUUUGACAGUCUCUGUUUGACGAUCUAGGAAGCUGUGCACCUCGCGACUGGACGUAAUC